AGUCUUAUAGUCUAAUAAGGAUAAUAAAUUGCAAAUUUAUUGGUGGGUGUAAACCUAAGGCUU
rnacentral:tRNA from 1 species